AAGAGCAGAGCAGACAUCUCAGCACCACGGCUUUUGCAGCGGCGCUGAAGAAUGCUGGUAGUGAUGUGUUUUCACAGCUCAUCUUGCAAGACUCCCAUGCAGUUUCCUGGAGAAGAUGGACUCCUGCCCUCCAGAAUUUUUUUUUUACAUGUGCUCAUGGAUAAGCAAAAGAAAUUCCUUCCUUCAUUCACUGUGACCUCCAGCCGCUUCCCAAGCUUUCACACAUCAGCCCAGUGACUGUUGGAGGAAGUCGCAGGCCUCAAAAGAGUGCACACAAGGAACAAAGGGUUGAACACUUGCCACAGAAAUAACAAACGUUUGACUCCCGCGCCAGCACUCUCUGCUCUCCUGUUUAUGGCAGACGUCACUAAUCAACCAUGGCAAUCUUUCCUGCUGGACCCGAGUAAGACCUCAGAACAGUCUGCAACAUAAUACCCCUGGAAGCUUCUAGCAGUAUGUAAGAAAUGGCCCGGAUUUGAAUCCUAUUAGC